rnacentral:rRNA from 1 species
UACGAAGGGGGCUAGCGUUGUUCGGAUUUACUGGGCGUAAAGCGCGUGUAGGCGGAUCGUUAAGUCGGGGGUGAAAGCCCAGAGCUCAACUCUGGAAUUGCCUUCGAUACUGGCGGUCUGGAGCAGAGAAGAGGCGAGUGGAAUUUCGAGUGUAGAGGUGAAAUUCGUAGAUAUUCGGAGGAACACCAGUGGCGAAGGCGGCUCGCUGGUCUCUUUCUUACGCUGAGACGCGAAAGCGUGGGGAGUAAACAGG